GCUUAAAGGAGCCGUAGCUGGCCGGGCAAAUCUCCGGGUAAAUCGGGCCGCCCAACGGUCCGAACGCCGGAGACACUGCUCGGCUUGGGAUCGGGAGAGGGUGAAGGUACUCCCGGGGUAGGGGUAAAAUCCUGUAAUCCGGGGGGGACCACCAGUGGCGAAGGCGUUCACCUAGAACGAAUCCGACAGUGAGGGACGAAGCCCUAGGGCGCAAACGGGAUUAGAUACCCCGGUAGUCUAGGGUGUAAACUCUGCAGACUUGGUGUUGGGGGUCCUGCGUGGGCUCCCAGUGCCGGAGUGAAGAUGUUAAGUCUGCCGCUUGGGGAGUACGGUCGCAAGACUGAAACUUAAAGGAAUUGGCGGGAGAGCACCGCAACGGGAGGAGCGUGCGGUUCAAUUGGAUUCAACGCCGGAAAACUCACCGGGGGCGACGGAGGGAUGAAAGCCAGGCUGAAGACCUUGCCCGAUUCUCCGAGAGGUGGUGCAUGGCCGUCGUCAGUUCGUACCGUAAGGCGUUCUGUUAAGUCAGAUAACGAACGAGACCCUCGCCCUCAGUCGCGACCUCACGAGCGAUCGUGAGAGCACACUGGGGGGAUCGCUGCUGCUAAAGCUGAAGAAGGAAAGGUCUACGGUAGGUCCGCAUGC
rnacentral:rRNA from 1 species